UGACUUUAAAGGACUUUAUUUUCAGGUUAGCAUUUCCUUGCAUGGCAACAGCUCAAAUUCAGACAAGAAGAAUCUCAUUAGAGUGAAAGUGGCUGGUAAAUGUCACUCCUGAUAUUAUGCCAUAGACAGAAGACUAAUUUAUUAAAAAGCUAAGAUUUCCACUUGGAAUUUUUUGGAUUUUCUGCUAGUGAGUCUCAUCAAACAAUCCCAGUGACAAACCAGGUACCCAGGAUUAUUACAUCACUGUGAAGUUAGCAGUGAUUGGCAAGUUUGCAGGGUUUUUUGCCCCUUCAUUUACAUGUACUUCUAGACAAGGAAGCUGAACUUAACAAAGUGCUUCCUAACCACUCGCUGGGCAUGGCUCUUUGUCUCACAAGCAAGUUCAAUGCUGGGAACUUUUCCAGCACUGCCCACAAAGAAAACAAGGAAAAACCGUGGUAGGUCACACCGAGACAAGAAAUGCAGCUUGGACAAAAUCCUGGGAUCCUCCCCUCAGUAACUAGCAUUUAUGAAGAUAAAAAUAUUGACAUAAAUUAUUAUCCUCCUUUGAAAUAAAUCAACUUUCAAGAAAAGGUACUUCAUAGUAGUUACAGCAACAUUAACUCGAAUUCUGGAACCAAUUACAGUGACAGCGCUUUCUAGCUGUAAUCUAGGAAAACAAUCAAGAUAGAUAGUUUUAACUCUGCUUUUCUGCUCUCCCAGUUAAUGAAUGUUGCUGCAUCCUGACCAAUGCACACAGCAGCCCAACCCUGCUAACAAUAGAUCCCAGUUUUGUGAGUGUUGUGUAGACUGCCCCAUCUCCAACCCUAUCGAUACUAUAACUAAAAUGUAGUAUUUCAUUUUCUUAAACUCAGGUUCUCUUAAGUCUCACCAGGAUUCAACACUACUGUGGAGGGCAUCUCAAGCACAUUAUCCUCAACGGCCAGUAUCUUAUUUACGAAACUGCCAACCUAUUUACAUCCUUUCAGAUUUGCAAAGAGGGAUCAAUCAGCGGUCUUGGGGGCAGAAGGGGAAGGGGCAUUAUGGCUUUUUAGUUUGGUUUGGGUUUUUUGCAUUGCUUCUAAUGUUUAGGAGGGAAUCAGAACAGCAGGAAGCUCUGAAAUUUUGAUCCUUUAUCAUUUUUCCUGUUACAAGAUAAGGGCCUAAUGCUACAGUUGUCUUAACAGGGUGUAAGGUCAGGGCCCAAGGCCACUGAUCACGUCUCUAUUCCUGGAGCUCUGAAUAGCAGAUGCUGACGAUGACAAAAGCCUUCCCCAGGCACCAAGCUGGAGCAGCAAACGUGAAAUGCAGCUGAGUUUCAGUUCCAGCAUCUGAUGCAAUACUGUGGUAAGCUUUCUAAAGGAGACGUCAUGGAUCUCUCUCUUCCAUGUGUGCUCUUACAUGCAUGGCAGGAGGAUCCAGGAUAUGUUUCCUGGACAGGGCCAGGAGACAAUAUUCACAAAAACGUACUAAUUGGACCCAGUAUCAUUUUUAAAGGACUGUCCUUUUCUCAAAGCAAUUUCCUUGCAAUAAAAGCAGGUUGUGACAGUAACAAAAAUACAAUCUACUAAUCCUUUAAAAUUGUUCUCAGGUCUACACUCCAGUGUUGAUCAGGACAAGGCAUCUGACAGCAAGAACCUGUCUUAUGUCAGAUGACACCUAUUGCAAGAGGCCUCUAUCUUCAAGACCUUUCAGUUUCAGCUAACAAGGUUUGCUAGCAUUGCUGAUCUCCAACUCCUCUGGAAAGCUGCUGUUAACUUUAAAGCUUUUAAAUUAAGGGUUUUGUCUUCUGGUAAUACAGCCAUACUAUUUAAACCCAUUUUAAAAUAGUUGUGUGCUAAGAGGUAUGCUCUUGGAUUCAACUUGCAUGCUGUACCUCAUACCGGUAACUCAGCCAAGACCUUACUCAUGGGUGUAAGUACCACCAUAAAUCUGGGCAUUCCAGACAAGGACUUACAUAUUUUAGAGUCUGGCUGGCAGAAAGACACACACAAAGUUGAUAUAUUUACUUACUGAAUACCUGAUGCAAUUAAAUAAGGUUGAAGAAAAGCCUUAAAGGUGAAAUGUCAGUGAUGUUCGUUCCUGCUUUGGGUGACUGAUUGGGGUUUUUUUUCAGCUGCAGUAAGGUUUUAUCUGGUAAAGCUCCUUUAAAUAGCAUGCAUAUGGAAUUGAUUCAGUCAGGGAACAUAAAGCCUCAUGAAAGAGGGAAGGAAAAAAAAAAAGUCGUGAAUGAAGCAGAACCAAGCACUUCUUCAUCAGAAAAAGGACUUUCAUGGUCAGAUCUGGCACUUUUCCUGAAGGAAAAGAAAAUAAGAAUAAUCAAACUAACCUAAUUCCUAACAGUCACUGGCGGUUAUCAAAGCAGGGAGGUCAUUCCUGGCACACAGCAAAUUUUGUGUCUGGCUCUGCUUAGUGCUCUGCACAUCAUUUUAUUUUGUUAGUUUUCUUCUUUGACCUUGCCCACCUUGCUACAAUGAAAGUUCACUUGGCAGCUGACGAGGAAAAGAAGACCAAUUGUAAAGCUGAGUGACUAAGCAAGAAAAUACAUGCAAACCGAUCUGAAGGUCUUGGAAAACCCAAGCAUGGGUUUACUCUGCUCAACGACAGGUUAAGCAAAAAAGGGUAAAAGAACCUGAAAGCUUUCACACUCAACAUCCAG
rnacentral:lncRNA from 1 species